rnacentral:tRNA from 1 species
CCUUCGAUAGCUCAGUUGGUAGAGCGGUGGACUGUAGAGGACAUACUCGUAGCUGAUAUCCAUAGGUCGCUGGUUCAAAUCCGGCUCGAAGGA